rnacentral:rRNA from 1 species
AUUGAACGCUGGCGGCAGGCCUAACACAUGCAAGUCGAACGAGUGGCGGACGGGUGAGUAAUGUCUGGGAAACUGCCUGAUGGAGGGGGAUAACUAUUGGAAACGGUAGCUAAUACCGCAUACCAUCGGAUGUGCCCAGAUGGGAUUAGCUAGUAGGUGGGGUAACGGCGCACCUAGGCGACGAUCCCUAGCUGGUCUGAGAGGAGGACCAGCCAAACUGGAACUGAGGGACGGUCCAGACUCCUACGAGAGGCAGCAGGGGGGAAUAUGGCACGAUGGGCGCACGCCUGAUGAAGCCAUGCCGCGUGUAUGAAGAAGGCCUUCGGGUUUUAAAGUACUUUCAGCGGGGAGGCGUUACCCGCAGAAGAAGCGCCGGCUAACUCCGUGCCAGCCGCCGCGGUAAUAC